UAGCGUGAUACGCAUGACGUAAAACUUCCCCUGCAUCCAUGCUAAUCUCUUGUUCGAUUCCCAAUAACUCUUUCAA
rnacentral:tRNA from 1 species